rnacentral:tRNA from 1 species
UAAAAGGUCGGGAUAGCUCAUUGG